rnacentral:rRNA from 1 species
GUAGAAAUACAUGUUCCCUUCGGGGCAAGGAGACAGGUGGUGCAUGGUUGUCGUCAGCUCGUGUCGUGAGAUGUUGGGUUAAGUCCCGCAACGAGCGCAACCCUUAUGGUUAGUUGCCAGCACGAAAGGUGGGAACUCUAAUCAGACUGCCGGGGAUAACUCGGAGGAAGGUGGGGACGACGUCAAAUCAUCAUGCCCCUUAUGUCCUGGGCUACACACGUGCUACAAUGGCCGGUACAGAUGGCUGCGAAACCGUAAGGUGAAGCGAAUCCAAAAAAACCGGUCCCAGUUCGGAUCGUGGGCUGCAACCCGCCCACGUGAAGCCGGAGUUGCUAGUAAUCGCGAAUCAGCAUGUCGCGGUGAAUGCGUUCCCGGGCCUUGUACACACCGCCCGUCACACCAUGGGAGUUGGGAGCGCCCGAAGCCGAUGGCCUAACAGCAAUGGAGGAGUCGUCGAAGGCGAGAUCAAUGACUGGGGUG